AUUGAACGCUGGCGGCAGGCCUAACACAUGCAAGUCGAGCGAGCGGCGGACGGGUGAGUAAUGUCUGGGAAACUGCCUGAUGGAGGGGGAUAACCACUGGAAACGGUAGCUAAUACCGCAUACCAUCAGAUGUGCCCAGAUGGGCUGAGCUAGUAGGUUGGGUAAUGGCUAACCUAGGCCACGAUCCCUAGCGGGUCUGUGAGGAUGAACAGCCACACUGGGACUGAGACACGGUCCAGACUCCUACGGGAGGCAGCAGUUGGGAAUAUUGCGCAAUGGGCGCAAGCCUGAUGCAGCCAUGCCGCGUGUGUGAAGAAGGCCUUCGGAUUGUAAAGCACUUUGAGCGGGGAGGCGUUACCCGCAGAAGAAGCACCGGCUAACUCCGUGCCAGCAGCCGCGGUAAUAC
rnacentral:rRNA from 1 species